rnacentral:rRNA from 1 species
ACGAAUGGUGCGAGCGUUGUUCGGAAUCACUGGGCAUAAAGAGCACGUAGGCGGUCUCGUAAGUCAACUGUGAAAUCCCCCGGCUCAACCGGGGAACUGCAGCUGAUACUGCGGGACUAGAGUGCGCGAGGGGAGAGCGGAAUUCCUGGUGGAGCGGUGAUAUGCGUAGAUAUCAGGAGGAACGCCGGAGGCGAAAGCGGCUCUCUGGUGCGCAACUGACGCUGAGGUGCGAAAGCUAGGGGAGCGAACAGG